GACAGAGGGUGCAAACGUUGUUCGGAAUUACUGGGCGUAAAGGGCGCGUAGGCGGCCUUGUAAGUCCUGUGUGAAAUCCCCCGGCUCAACUGGGGAACUGCACAGGAGACUGCUUGGCUUGAGUUCGGGAGAGGGAAGCGGAAUUCCGGGUGUAGCGGUGAAAUGCGUAGAUAUCAGGAGGAACACCGAUGGCGAAGGCAGGUCUCUGGGCCGAUACUGACGCUGAGGAGCGAAAGCGUGGGGAGCGAACAGG
rnacentral:rRNA from 1 species